rnacentral:rRNA from 1 species
CGGCGAGUGAAGCGGCAACAGCUCAAAUUUGAAAUCUGGCCCUCGGGUCCGAGUUGUAAUUUGUAGAGGAUGCUUUUGGCGCGGUGCCUUCCGAGUUCCCUGGAACGGGACGCCUUAGAGGGUGAGAGCCCCGUACGGUUGGACACCAAGCCUCUGUAAAGCUCCUUCGACGAGUCGAGUAGUUUGGGAAUGCUGCUCUAAAUGGGAGGUAAAUUUCUUCUAAAGCUAAAUAUUGGCCAGAGACCGAUAGCGCACAAGUAGAGUGAUCGAAAGAUGAAAAGCACUUUGAAAAGAGGGUUAAAUAGCACGUGAAAUUGUUGAAAGGGAAGCGUUUGCGACCAGACCUUUUCCUAGCGGAUCAACCGGUGUUCUCACCGGUGCACUUCGCUAGGUUUAGGCCAGCAUCGGUUUCUGUAGGGGGAUAAAAGCUCUGGGAACGUAGCUCCUCCGGGAGUGUUAUAGCCCUCUGCAUAAUACCCUUACGGGGACCGAGGACCGCGCUUCGGCAAGGAUGCUGGCGUAAUGGUCGUCAACGACCCGUCUUGAAACACGGACCAAGGAGUCGAACAUUUGUGCGAGUGUUUGGGUGUUAAACCCUCACGCGUAAUGAAAGUGAACGGAGGUGAGAGCCCUUACGGGUGCAUCAUCGACCGAUCCUGAUGUCUUCGGAUGGAUUUGAGUAAGAGCAUAACUGUUCGGACCCGAAAGAUGGUGAACUAUGCGUGGAUAGGGUGAAGCCAGAGGAAACUCUGGUGGAGGCUCGCAGCGGUUCUGACGUGCAAAUCGAUCGUCAAAUCUGCGCAUGGGGGCGAAAG